rnacentral:lncRNA from 1 species
GCGGGCGUCCGGGAGUUCCCUCCUCCUCAAGUAAAGCGUCCCGGGCCGGCUGCGCCGCCGUCGCUGCCUCCUGGCGCCCCGCGACCUGGAGGUGGAGAAGGGAGAGGGACCCGCGGGCGUCCACCUCGGCCGGCCGCCUUCUCCCCGCGGCGACCCGUGCGAGUGCGGCCGGACUCAGGUAAGCUCGCGGCGUGGCCUCGCGACGUAGGCAGCUGACCCGGACCGGGCAGCUCUAGGCCUCGGCAUCCACCCUCCUGCUCCCGGGCUUCUCGAGGCGCCGCCGCCCCUGCCGCUGUCCGCCUACUGGUCCCGGAGUCUGGAAGUUGAGGAGAAACUUCUCCCCUCCCGCGGUCUGGCUGGCGGGCGUGAGUGUCUCGUCUCCUGGGCUCACUACCUGCUUGCCCAGUGCCUCGGUCUCCGCCCUGUCCAGUACUUCCCGAUUCUGCGGGAGUCCGGAUAGUGGUCCAGCCUAUGUGGUGCCGCCGCUGCACCCUCCACCCCAAAGGACGUGGGGUCACUCCCGAAUGAGGACCAGAGGGUAGGGCAGCGGCCCCUUCUCGUCCUAGCGGCUGGAGGUCUGUGUCGCCGGACGCCCGCAGCAACUGUCUGGAGCGAGGAGUGGAACUCGUGGAGCGAGCGGGUGAGCGGCGGGUUGUACUUGGUUUGAUUGCAAACCACGACCUGUUUAUAAAGUUUUCCUUUGUUUGGGUUUGAGGGUGUUGGGACGUGUUACAAUCAGCGGCCACUUUUAAGUGCCUUGCCACUCCGCCUCCCCGUGAGUUCGGUUCUCUGUCCUCCUGUGUCAACGAAAAUUUUGUUUGUGUUUUGCUUCUUGAUAAUUGCUUCCAGCUUUUGCUUUAUUGGGCUUGAGAAAGAGUUGUUUUUAAAAAGUGGGAAUAUCGUUUCUGGUAUAGGGAUUGUGAAUGGGGCAUAGCGUAGUUUUGAUGUAGUUAUUCUUUGCAUAAGUGAUUGGAACAGCAGUGGAAAUGACAGUUAUCAAAGUAAAUAAACGAAAAGUAUGCAGUUGAAACAUAACUUUGUACCUCUCUUGUGUGUUCCACAGCUGUGUUUUUUACAUGUGAUUUCACAGGAUAUUUCGGUAUGGUAUAUUCAUGUAUUUCGUGUAAAAUUACUGACCAAAAUUGGCAAUUGAAAGUGAGUUUAAACAUCCUGUUAAAUUUCUAAAUUUAAAUUACUCACUAAUGAAAAUGUUAUUAAGUGUGCAUGUGUGACUCAAUUUAAGGCCAAAUGUGUGCUACCUCUAUUAACCAGCACAAUGGUGUGGACUAGAAACAUUUUGAGUGGGCAGAUAGGGAGUGUUAAAUUAAAAGCCAAAGUUCUUAUAUGCAACAUAUAUGAGAGAGAAUACAACUGUAGGAAAGUUGUUCUUCAGGAAUUUUUUCCGCUUGCUAAAUGCAUUUAGCUAUAUCUUAUUUUUGAAUACCAGCAAAACCUCAGUGAAAAUGUAGAUGCUGGUUGACAUUUCAGUAGGUCCUAAAUUUAGGGGAGGGAGAAGAUUGCCUUUGAUUGAAACUUAGAUACAAGACUGUUUAUAUUCCAUAUUUCCAGGAUAAAAUAAAAGCUUUUAAAAUGUGUGCUUUGCCAUAAAACUACGGUAAUGUUAUACCUUUAAUUUUGUAGCUAGUUUUUGCUGACUUCACAAACCACAAAAUUGACUCCUUUCUGUUCAACUGAAAGUGAAAUUACAGCCUUGACCUGUCUUCUUGGGAUAGGUGUGAAAUUUAUCUCAUGGCCAAAGGAUAAUAUUAAUAUAUAGUCAAAAAUUGUUUUUAGUUGAAGAAAUUCUCAAAAAAACCCAUUGUCUUUGCAAAUAAAAUUUUAUUUCAUUGCAUAUAUAAAUAAAAGAAUAUGCUAAAAGAGUAGUGAAAUAUUACUACUUGUAUACUUGUUUAAAUCCUUGUUUACUUACAGUUCAAAUUUGCAUAGUUCUAACAGUAAUAGCAUACUACUGUGGGUAAUUUAAAAAAAUAUAUUUUAUUUAUAUAAGUACACUGUCGCUGUCUUCAGACACCAGAAGAGGGCAUCAGAUCCCAUUACAGAUGGUUGUGAGCCACCAUGUGGUUGCUGGGAAUUGAACUCAGGAUCUCCGGAAGAGCAGUCAAUGCUCUUAACUGCUGAGCCAACUCUCCAGCCUUGGUAAUUUUUAAAAAAAAUAUAUUGAGCUUCCAAUUUAGUGGUUCAGGUUGGUGUGAGCAUCAUUUAUUAGUCUUAUUACUUAUUACCAUUGUUUAGGAAAGAAACCUGAGCAGAUUUUUUUUUUUUUUUUUUUUUUUGAAGAGCAUUGCUAGGUUCUGAUGUCUAGGGAUGCAAAUUUAAGUGAUAAAACUAUUAAAAAAAAAACUACAAGGAAGUGAUGCUUCUAUCCUUGGGGUCUUGGAGGUGUUAGUUUUAAUUUAAUUUAUGAGCUCAUACAUUUGUGUGUUUGUUACCUGGGUUUUAUAUUUUACAUAAAAAUAUUUUUAAGAAGCCUGAAUGUAAUGCAGUAUAGAAGGUGCUUAGGUUAAGUUAAUAAUUUUCAAGAUAAUCUGGUUUCCUGUCACAUCCUUUAAUCUUUUCCCUGUUGAUUAAAAAUUUUAGUCAUUGGUGUCUAGCUUAAGGGCACUCCCUGGGCUCUUCUUUGCUAACAGGUUUAGACUUCUUGCAUCAUAAAUAUCAUAUACUAGUUUGUGUGUGAAAAUACCACACACACACACACACACACACACACACUCACACAAAAAA